rnacentral:rRNA from 1 species
CAGCCAAGUCGUGAGGCGGAGCUAAUCCCUUAAAGCCAUUCUCAGUUCGGAUUGUAGGCUGAAACUCGCCUACAUGAAGCUGGAGUUACUAGUAAUCGCAGAUCAGAAUGCUGCGGUGAAUGCGUUCCCGGGUCUUGUACACACCGCCCGUCACACCACGGAAGUUGGGGGCGCCCGAAGCCACUUAGCUAACCCUUUUGGGAAGCGAGUGUCGAAGGUGAAAUCAAUAACUGGGGUGAAGUCGUAACAAGGUAGC